UACGUAGGGGGCAAGCGUUGUCCGGAAUUAUUGGGCGUAAAGAGCGUGUAGGCGGUCCGGUAAGUCCGCUGUGAAAGUCCAGGGCUCAACCCUGGAAUGCCGGUGGAUACUGCCGGGCUAGAGUCCGGAAGAGGCGAGUGGAAUUCCUGGUGUAGCGGUGAAAUGCGCAGAUAUCAGGAAGAACACCCGUGGCUAAGGCGGCUCUCUAGUACGGUACUGACGCUGAGACGCGAAAGCGUGGGGAGCGAACAGG
rnacentral:rRNA from 1 species